rnacentral:rRNA from 1 species
AAGGAUUCCCUUAGUAACUGCGAGUGAAGAGGGAAAAGCUCAAAUUUAAAAUCUGGCAGUGUUUCACUGUCCGAGUUGUAACCUAGAGAAGUGUAACCUGCACUGGACCGUGUAUAAGUCUCCUGGAAUGGAGCAUCACAGAGGGUGAGAAUCCCGUCUUUGACAUGGACCACCAGUGCAUUGUGGUUGUGCUCUCAACGAGUCGAGUUGUUUGGGAAUGCAGCUCUAAAUGGGUGGUAAAUUCCAUCUAAAGCUAAAUAUUGGCGAGAGACCGAUAGCGAACAAGUACCGUGAGGGAAAGAUGAAAAGAACUUUGGAAAGAGAGUUAAACAGUAUGUGAAAUUGUUGAAAGGGAAACGUUUGAAGUCAGUCGCGUUGGUUGGGGAUCAGCCUGACAUUGUUGGGUUUACUUCCUGGUCGACGGGCCAACAUCAGUUUUGACUGCCAGAAAAAGGCCAAAGGAAUGUGGCACCUUUGGGUGUGUUAUAGCCCUUGGUCGUAUAUGGUGGUUGGGACUGAGGAAAGCAGCGUGCCGAAAGGCCGGGUUUCGACCACGAUCACGCUGAGGAUGUUGGCAUAAUGGCUUUAAGCGACCCGUCUUGAAACACGGACCAAGGAGUCUAACAUGCAUGCGAGUGUUUGGGUGGAAAACCCUUACGCGUAAUGAAAGUGAAAGUUGAGAUCCCUGUCGCGGAGAGCAUCGACGCCCGGACCAGAACUUUUGGGACGGAUCUGCGGUAGAGCACGUAUGUUGGGACCCGAAAGAUGGUGAACUAUGCCUGAAUAGGGUGAAGCCAGAGGAACUCUGGGUGGAGGCUCGUA